UACGUAGGCAGCGAGCGUUGCUCGGAAUUACUGGGCGUAAAGAGUGUGUAGGCGGUGCUCUAAGUUCGGUGUGAAAUCUCCUGGCUUAACUGGGAGGGUGCGCCGGAAACUGGGGUGCUCGAGCGUGGGAGAGGAAAGCGGAAUUCCUGGUGUAGCGGUGAAAUGCGUAGAUAUCAGGAGGAACACCUGUGGUGUAGACAGCUUUCUGGACCAUUGCUGACGCUGAGACACGAAAGCGUGGGUAGCAAACAGG
rnacentral:rRNA from 1 species